GAUCCUACGGGGCGCAGCAGUGGGGAAUAUUGCACAAUGGGGGAAACCCUGAUGCAGCGACGCCGCGUGAGCGAAGAAGUAUUUCGGUAUGUAAAGCUCUAUCAGCAGGGAAGUAAAUGACGGUACCUGACUAAGAAGCCCCGGCUAACUACGUGCCAGCAGCCGCGGUAAUACGUAGGGGGCAAGCGUUAUCCGGAUUUACUGGGUGUAAAGGGAGCGUAGACGGCAUAGCAAGUCUGAUGUGAAAGAUCGUGGCUCAACCCCGGGCCUGCAUUGGAAACUGUUAAGCUGGAGUACA
rnacentral:rRNA from 1 species